AAAGACGUUGCAAAAAAAACAAAGCCUAUCGAUCCCCUCGAGGACACAGCGCCGCCCUCAUGCGAUCUCAGAGGUCACAGCGCCGCCUCCCCUCUAUCGCCAACUCCGACGUACGAUCUUGCCGCCACCGACCUCCUAGAGGAGACGUCGCCCGCGGACGUCCGGGAUCGCCGCCGCGGACUUAAGGGAUCAACGUCGCCGACCUCCCAGAGGAGACGCCGCCGCCGCCGACCUCUGAGGGGAGACGCCGCCGCCACCUCCGCUAAACCCUAGGCAUCCACCACCGUGCUCCCGCCGUCGGGUUCCGCCUGCGUUCGCCACCAUGCGAUCGCCUUCCUCCCUCAGCUCGUUUUCUCUAUGCUCUGUCAGGCUGCAACAGCCUAAGUUUCUAUUUUCUAUCUGGGCUCCACUGGCAGUAGUAGGAUGCUCAUUGGCAACCCAAGGUGUGUAUACCCCUACUUCCCCAAGAUGUGUGCUGCUGUGAGGCAUGUAGCACCACUUCUCCUGACUGCUAUAAUCAGUGGAAGAUCUCAUGACAUGGCGUCAUGGUCUCAUGGAAUGGACAUCAUGGGGCUUAUUAGGAACUCUGAGUUUAGCGGGCACCAUGCCGAAAGAGGUCAAUCUCUUCCAAUACACAAUCGCUGAGGUAUGUAUCAAUGUCUAAAGGUUAAAAAAGACCCAGGUUACACCAUAUGGUUUAGGUUGCUCACCUUGGUGGCUGACUAGGCGUUCAAAAAUCUUAGUGAGAGUAUAAAGGACAUUGUUGAUGGUGCAAUAAUGGAACCCAACAAGUUGUGUGUGUGUGUGUGUGUCGCACGACCUGGGAGUCUACAUCUAAGAGUUCCUUUCAGUUUUCUAUCAGAAACAUUUCUUUAUAAAAGUUCUGUUGGACACUUAUCUUCUCUUUACUUAUCGUUUUGUGGGACUACGAAAAAGUUCAUCUGUGUGUAACUACAGGGUUCUCGAAGUCCUCCCUCUCAUUGACAGGGUGAAAGUUGUGGAAUUUUUGCUUUAACUGCCUGGAGUAAGAUGACAGGACAUACAAAGAUGCAUUCAAGUAGUUACUGAAAGCAAUCUGAGGACAAAGCUUUGAUUGUUGUUGUAGUUGAAGAUUCAGAGUUGCAAGGCAGGCACAGUUAACAGGGAUAAGAAACUAUAGAAGAUUUAUCAAACCAGAUAUAUGGACUUGGUUAUGCACUGAAUCAUUGUGGAGGAUCUCAGGUAAUUAGGCCAUACAACAAAAUUAAAUUUUACUUGCUUUUAAAUGUUUAGGGGGCAGAUGAUGUUUCAUAUGCUAGACUGAAGUACGCACCUUUUAAGAGUAUCACUGAUACUCCAGUCACCCAUAAAAAUGGAAGUACUGAAAAUUAGUUUGCAAGGAAAAUAACUAAAUAGUGAGUCCGAGCAAACCUACUGCCUAGAUUACAUGAGAUCAUUUUAGCUCUAAGAGUUUCUUUUAUCUUUUUUUAUAUUCUGGUAAACAUGUGGGUGAAUAACUGUUAGAAAUUGUUCUAUAUGUACAUGUGCAUUCUACUAGAACUGAUGCUUGAAAGAAUAAAAAUUUCUAUAAUAUUUGUAAGCCAAGCGGUGGAAAAUCUCUCUCCUCACAGUAGAUUACCAUCGUCUACGUAUCUGCUUUGUCGAAACAGAGUCCACAGGUUUACUCAUGUCAUCUGUUUUUUGUUGUUUGAGGGAAGGUUUGUUAGGAGCCCAUCUCUUCUGCAGCAAGCCCUGCAGAAAGAGAGCUAGAUAUAAUGGUACUUGCUAGCCUUUUAAUGGACACUUCCUUUUGGCCUUUUUUAGUUUCUCUAAUUAGGUAAGAUACUUCAAUGAGUGAGAAUUUUUUGUUCCCUCCCUUUUUCAUUGUCUUUUGAGUUUUGCUUUGUGGUGAGAGGAGGAUAGAGAUACCCAAUUGCCGUGGGGAUCAGAGAUUAGGUGAGGUCACAUUGUUUGUCUCGGCUUUACAGUGUGAGGUAAAGGAAGAAAAUAAAGUAAUGUUAGAAUAUUGCAAUCAUAUAUCUGGACAUAUCUCUACUCCUAAUGGAGCAGUUGGAAAACAAAAGCCGGGAGAAGUAUGUCCCCUCCGUCCUCCUCCUGCGACGCGCGUCACGAGAGAAACCCUUGCGCCGCCGCCGCCGGGACCCCCUCCUCCUCCCCUUCUCCCCUCCCCUGCCGCCGCCUGCGAGCAAGGCCGGGCGAAGCCCGGUCGGCUCCGGUGGUGUGUGUGUGGGGGGGUCUUCCCUUCACCGUGUGGCCGCGUGUGGCGCAGGAUGGCGUGGCCGGCGAAGGCGCCAUGCGAGUAGGGGGCACGACGACGUGGCAUCUGAGUGUGGGGUGGCGACGCCUGGCCAGGUGCUCGUACGGGUGGCUCUACGGCGGGGGUGGCUGCGAUGUUGCCGGCGGCUGCGUUUGUGCGCGCCCAGAUCUGGCAGCGGCUGCGCCCGCGCGUUGCGCUGGCUCAGCGGUGGCCUGGGUGGCUCGGCACGCGCGGGAGCUCGGCGGGCGGCGGCUUGGGUCGCCGCUGCACCUCGUCAUCCGGCUGUGUGGUCACUGGUGGUGGAUAGCGGCCGCUGGUGAGAUUCAUCUUGUCCAGCCACGGCGCAGGUCUGAGUGCGGUUCCAAUCCAGCCCCUGCUGAGCUUGCACAUGUCGCGACAUAGGGCUGGACCUUUCCCAGUGAUGGCCACAGUUGAGGGAUGGAUCCGACGCCGGGAGGGCCACGGAACCAUCCUUGCCUCCUGUCAGGUGGCGCACCGGGGAGCUCGUCCUUGCAUGGCCUGGCGGGAUGGGGCGGUGGCGGCCGAGUGCGGCCGGCCCGGGGGUGGGCCUCGGACCUGGGGACCGUCCAAGGGCAGGGAAGGAGGUGCCUUCCCGCCCGUCUCUUUGCCUGUCAUGGCUGCAAGCUUCGGUAGGGGAUGGUGUCGGGACCAUGGGUGUUGGGGCGGCGGCCCUGGAGGUGGGAGGCGUGGGCUCAUGGGCGGAGCUCACAGCUCGGGUGUGAGCUAGCUGCCGUGACCGUGCGGGGGUGUGGUGGUCAGGGUGCGACAACCGGAGGGGUAGGUCCGGCAGGCCUGGUUUGUUGUGCCUCGCCUCGGGGGCUGUGAGGACUUCCCGGGGUGAAAACCUGCUUUGGCUCUGCCAAGCCGACGGCGACGUCGCCUAUGGGCGGAACCUCCUUCUUGAAGGCGUCGUCGCGGCUCCUAUACAUGCUCCGAUUGCUCCGAAGGAAACCUUGAUCUUGGGAUCGGGCGGUGGUGAUACUCCUGUGUCGUGCCCUUCUUGAAGGCACCGCCUUGAAGUGUUCGGCUUGUCGUGCAUAGCUCUCUCUCUCUCUCUCUCUCUCUCUCUCUCUCUCUCUCUUCGCGGUGACUCGCUCACGGUUGAGGUCUGCGGAGACUACAAGUGGUGCUAUCCCUGCCUACAUGUAGUUGCUUAGAGUGGAUGGGGGUGAUCUAGCAGUUCAUAUACACCUUUGUAUCUUGCCUUGUGUGUGUGUUGUGGGGUGAGUUGUAUGUGUUGGUUUGUAUGGUGAUCGUUGCUUUAUGUAUAAAGCGGGGCACGAGCCUUUUUCGGUAAUGAAGCAUUUGGUUGUCUCCGUUCCGGGUUUUUUUCGUCCCACCUCCCACCUUCGUCUGGUUUUAGGUUGAAUUCUUGUUCUCUAGAUCCACCUUCACCGACAGCACGCGCUUGUCUGUGACCUCCCACCAGCAGCGCCUUGAGGUCACCCACAAAAGCGACCAAGCAAUUCCACGUUGUCACCCUCUACUACUUCACCAACGACAUCGAGGAGGUCGUGGGUGAGAGCUAUUGUCCUCCUUGGAGAACAUGCUCGUGCCCCAUGCGUACGAAGAAGAGCUAAGACACUCGCAUGGGUGCUCAAGGAAAUACACCAGAUUGAGCGAGGUUAGAUUAAAGUUUCUUCAUUCUUCACUAGCUUUUCUUGUGCCUUUAGGUAUUUCAGAUAAGUAUCGUAUGCUGCCUACAACAUGUAAGGGAAGCCAAAAAUGAUUACAAAAUAUUUAUGCUUCUUCAUAGUUGUCCAUUUGGUUCUAAACUUUGUUGAGUGGCAGACAUAUUUUACAUUAAUUAAUAAAUAAUGUUGCUGCACACGUGAGUUGGUUUGCAAUGAAGUUGGCAGGUAGACAUGUUUUUGUUGAAUAAAUAUUUUUCAUAAAUACGGGGGCAUGAAGAUAAUCUAUUCUUUCUUUACUCCAUUGACAAUGGGACAAUGUUCUUUUUGUGUUUCAGAGUAAAAAAACAGACUCUAAUCUGAAUCUGACGAGUAAAAAAAUAUCGUUGUGUUUCAGAGUGUUACACAAUUUAUCAACAAGAGCAAAGACUCUAAUCUGAUGAUGUAGGACAGCUUUAAUGUGACAGAGGAUCAUGGUGGUCGAUGGAUUGUGCACCCGGUAGUAGACUAAGAAAGGAACAUUAUUUAUGGAACACAAUAAUAUUCAGAGCAGCCCUGCACUAUGUGAGAUUUAGAAGUUGGUACUGCCGGCGGAUGCAUCCAUCUGCUAAUCUCCUGGCACCGCGUAGACGGAGCCAAACGAGUUGGGGCCUCCAGCCGGCUGGUAGUGGACAACAACACCGGGUUUGUUAAUUACUCAACAAGUCACAGAUUGAUCUCUUUUUUGAUUGGUUUGGUGUGGAUUAUCAGGCCUGCCGCGCAAUCAUAGAUUUAUCUUUUGCUUUAUGUGGGUGGACAGAAACACCCUUUCUAAAGUUUUGUAGGUAUUGUAAUGAAGCACAGUAACACACUCCAGCAUUCAUUCUUUGCUUGAUAUUAGCAAACAAUGUAAAAUAACCAAGCUCACAACAUUCUAAAGCGGUCUAUUAGCUACUUCAGCAGACAACAGACAGAAAGAAGUAAGCAGUAUUUGAUUUGCUCAUACCCGUGGAGGCAUCGAAUUCUGCCCAAAGUUUGUCGCAGCACUUGUGGUCAGCGGCGAGGAUGAGCACCCACACCCGCUCCUUGUUGCCGGCCUCUGCAUCCUCCUCCCUCGAAGCGGGUCUAUGCGGGGAGUUGAUCUAGAAUAUCCUAUUGUUAGAUAUAACAAAUAGGUGACAAGAAAUAAACAAGAACUAUGUAGUACAAUAUAUGUGUCACACAGUAUACUUUGAAAAUGUGUAAUUUGAGAUUCUGAUAUAGAUGUGGGCCUGUAACACACCUUGAACAUGCAGUAAAAAUUGUUGUUUACAGUCUGAUUUCUAAACCUGAUGAAAACCCCUAUUUAAAAAGGAUUUAAUAGAAUUUGUAGUGAUUCUUUUGUCAGAUUGAUAAUAUAUUGCAAAUUAUGCUUGA